UACGUAGGGGGCAAGCGUUGUCCGGAAUCAUUGGGCGUAAAGAGCGUGUAGGCGGCCAGAAAAGUCCGCUGUGAAAACUCGAGGCUCAACUUCGAGCUGUCGGUGGAAACUUUCUGGCUAGAGUCCGGAAGAGGAGAAUGGAAUUCCUGGUGUAGCGGUGAAAUGCGUAGAUAUCAGGAGGAACACCUGUGGCGAAAGCGGCGCACUGGACCACAACUGACGCUGAGGCGCGAAAGCUAGGGGAGCAAACAGG
rnacentral:rRNA from 1 species